rnacentral:rRNA from 1 species
GAUGAACGCUGGCGGCGCGCCUAAUACAUGCAAGUCGAGCGAAUGGAUUAAGAGCUUGCUCUUAUGAAGUUAGCGGCGGACGGGUGAGUAACACGUGGGUAACCUGCCCAUAAGACUGGGACAACUCCGGGAAACCGGGGCUAAUACCGGAUAAUAUUUUGAACUGCAUGGUUCAAAAUUGAAAGGCGGCUUCGGCUGUCACUUAUGGAUGGACCCGCGUCGCAUUAGCUAGUUGGUGAGGUAACGGCUCACCAAGGCAACGAUGCGUAGCCGACCUGAGAGGGUGAUCGGCCACACUGGGACUGAGACACGGCCCAGACUCCUACGGGAGGCAGCAGUAGGGAAUCUUCCGCAAUGGACGAAAGUCUGACGGAGCAACGCCGCGUGAGUGAUGAAGGCUUUCGGGUCGUAAAACUCUGUUGUUAGGGAAGAACAAGUGCUAGUUGAAUAAGCUGGCACCUUGACGGUACCUAACCAGAAAGCCACGGCUAACUACGUGCCAGCCGCCGCGGUAA